rnacentral:rRNA from 1 species
CAUCAGUAGAAUAACCAGGAAGAGUUCUCUUUUUCUUUUUAACAACUGAACUCAAAUACAUCAGUAGAAUAACCAGGAAGAGUUCUCUUUUCUUUUUAACAACUUCCUCGCAAGGGGUGUAUAAUGACCAUGGAAUCAAUUUAGUUGGAGAAGUGGUUAAAGAGUUGGCAAAGUAAUUCAAUUUCUGAAUUAUCUGGUUAGGUUCUAAUGGUACAUAAAAUUUGAGGGAAUGAUCUUACUUGAAUAGUCGUACUCAUAACCGCAGCAGGUCUCCAAGGUUAGAAGCCUCUAGUUGGCAGAAUAAUGUAGGUAAGGGAAUCGGCAAAAUAGAUCUGUAACUUCGGGAAAAAGAUUAGGCUCUAAAAGGCUGAGUAUAUGGGCUAUGCUUUGAAGUUAUUAGAGAUUAGAUUGUUAGGUGGCUGUCAUGGUUGGUUGUGA